rnacentral:rRNA from 1 species
ACAGAGGGGGCAAGCGUUGUUCGGAAUUACUGGGCGUAAAGGGCUCGUAGGUGGCCAACUAAGUCGGACGUGAAAUCCCUCGGCUUAACCGGGGAACUGCGUCCGAUACUGGUUGGCUUGAGUUUGGGAGAGGGAUGCGGAAUUCCAGGUGUAGCGGUGAAAUGCGUAGAUAUCUGGAGGAACACCUGUGGUGUAGACGGCUCUCUGGACCGCAACUGACGCUGAGACACGAAAGCGUGGGUAGCAAACAGGA